ACCUUCGGGUCUAGUGGCGCACGGGUGCGUAACGCGUGGGAACCUGCCCUUGGGUUCGGAAUAACUCAGAGAAAUUUGAGCUAAUACCGGAUAAUGUCUUCGGACCAAAGAUUUAUCGCCUUUGGAUGGGCCCGCGUAGGAUUAGCUAGUUGGUGGGGUAAUGGCCUACCAAGGCGACGAUCCUUAGCUGGUCUGAGAGGAUGAUCAGCCACACUGGGACUGAGACACGGCCCAGACUCCUACGGGAGGCAGCAGUGGGGAAUAUUGGACAAUGGGCGAAAGCCUGAUCCAGCAAUGCCGCGUGAGUGAUGAAGGCCUUAGGGUUGUAAAGCUCUUUUACCAGGGAUGAUAAUGACAGUACCUGGAGAAUAAGCUCCGGCUAACUCCGUGCCAGCAGCCGCGGUAAUACGGGAGGGAGCUAGCGUUGUUCGGAAUUACUGGGCGUAAAGCGCACGUAGGCGGCGAUUCAAGUCAGAGGUGAAAGCCCGGGGCUCAACCCCGGAACUGCCUUUGAAACUAGAUUGCUAGAAUCCUGGAGAGGUGAGUGGAAUUCCGAGUGUAGAGGUGAAAUUCGUAGAUAUCCGGAAGAACACCAGUGGCGAAGGCGACUCACUGGACAGGUAUUGACGCUGAGGUGCGAAAGCGUGGGAAGCAAACAGGAUUAGAUACCCUGGUAGUCCACGCCGUAAACGAUGAUAACUAGCUGUCCGGGCUCAUAGAGCUUGGGUGGCGCAGCUAACGCAUUAAGUUAUCCGCCUGGGGAGUACGGUCGCAAGAUUAAAACUCAAAGGAAUUGACGGG
rnacentral:rRNA from 1 species